CUCUUCUCCCGAACGGCGUUCUCCUAACUUGUCUGGGAGCUGAACGGGCAGCGGUACAGUUUUCCCCGGGGUUCGCCAAAGAGAUUUCCACGCGUUUAACUACCAUGUACAGCUGUCUGCACUCGGGAGACAAAAUGGCCACCAUUCACUAGAGCACAUGUGUUCCGUUAUACGAAUGGCGGCCACCAAGGGAAAGCACUUGAGCUAAUUGCUCUUUUGAAGUUAACAAGCCAG